rnacentral:rRNA from 1 species
UACCAGCACCCCGAGUGGUCGGGACGUUUAUUGGGCCUAAAGCAUCCGUAGCCGGUUCUGCAAGUCUUCCGUUAAAUCCACCUGCUUAACAGAUGGGCCGCGGAGGAUACUAUAAGACUAGGAGGCAGGAGAGGCAAGCGGUACUCAGUGGGUAGGGGUAAAAUCCGUUGAUCCAUUGAAGACCACCAGUGGCGAAGGCGGCUUGCCAGAAUGCGCUCGACGGUGAGGGAUGAAAGCUGGGGGAGCGAAAGGG